UACAGAGGUCUCAAGCGUUUGUUCGGAUUCAUUGGGCGUAAAGGGUGUGUAGGUGGCGCGCUAAGUCGGGUGUGAAAUUUCGGAGCUUAACUCCGAAACUGCAUUCGAUACUGGCGUGCUUGAGGACUGGAGAGGAGACUGGAAUUCAUGGUGUAGCAGUGAAAUGCGUAGAGAUCAGGAGGAACACCGGCGGCGAAGGCGGGUCUCUGGGCCAUAACUGACGCUGAGGAGCGAAAGCGUGGGGAGCGAACAGG
rnacentral:rRNA from 1 species